UAGGGUUAGGGGUGAGGUUAGGGUUGGUUUAGGGGUGGGGUUGGGGUAGGGUUAGGGUUGGUUUAAGGUUGGGUUAUGGUAGGGUUAGGAGCAGGGUUAGGGUUAGGAGUAGGGUUAGGAAUAGGGUUACCCUUCCCCUACCCUCACCCUACUCCAACCACUAACCUUACCCCUAUCCCAACCACUAACUCUGCCACAACCCUUAACCCUACCCCUAAACUUAACCCUACCCCUACCUCUACCCCAACCACAAACCCCAACCCUCUCCUCUUUUGCCACUUUUUAGAA